rnacentral:rRNA from 1 species
AUUGAACGCUGGCGGCAGGCCUAACACAUGCAGGUCGAGCGGAUGAAGGGAGCUUGCUCCUGGAUUCAGCGGCGGACGGGUGAGUAAUGCCUAGGAAUCUGCCUGGUAGUGGGGGAUAACGUCCGGAAACGGGCGCUAAUACCGCCUACGUCCUGAGGGUGCAAGUGGGGGAUCUUCGGACCUCACGCUCUCAGAUGAGCCUAGGUCGGAUUAGCUAGUUGGUGGGGUAAAGGCCUACCAAGGCGACGAUCCGUAACUGGUCUGAGAGGAUGAUCAGUCACACUGGAACGGAGACACGGUCCAUACUCCUACGGGAGGCAGCAGUGGGGAAUGUUGGACAAUGGGCGAAAGCCUGAUCCAGCCAGGCCGCGUGUGUGAAGAAGGUCUUCGGAGUGUAAAGCACUUUAAGUUGGGAGGAAGGGCAGUAAGUUAAGACCUUGCUGUUUUGACGUUACCAACAGAAUAAGCACCGGCUAACUUCGUG